CAGUAGCCACGGUAGUACGUAGGUGGCAAGCGUUGUCCGGAAUUAUUGGGCGUAAAGGGCUCGCAGGCGGUUUCUUAAGUCUGAUGUGAAAGCCCCCGGCUCAACCGGGGAGGGUCAUUGGAAACUGGGAAACUUGAGUGCAGAAGAGGAGAGUGGAAUUCCACGUGUAGCGGUGAAAUGCGUAGAGAUGUGGAGGAACACCAGUGGCGAAGGCGACUCUCUGGUCUGUAACUGACGCUGAGGCACGAAAGCGUGGGGAGCAAACAGGAUUAGAUACCCCGGUAGUCCCUGUCUCUUAUAC
rnacentral:rRNA from 1 species